rnacentral:rRNA from 1 species
UACGAAGGGGGCUAGCGUUGUUCGGAAUCACUGGGCGUAAAGGGCGCGUAGGCGGCUUUAUAAGUCGGGGGUGAAAGCCUGUGGCUCAACCACAGAAUUGCCUUCGAUACUGUAGAGCUUGAGACCGGAAGAGGUAAGUGGAACUGCGAGUGUAGAGGUGAAAUUCGUAGAUAUUCGCAAGAACACCAGUGGCGAAGGCGGCUUACUGGUCCGGUACUGACGCUGAGGUGCGAAAGCGUGGGGGAGCAAACAGG